rnacentral:misc_RNA from 1 species
UGGCUCUCGCAUCGAUGAAGAACGCAGCGAAAUGCGAUAAGUAAUGUGAAUUGCAGAAUUCAGUGAAUCAUCGAAUCUUUGAACGCACCUUGCGCUCCUUGGUAUUCCGAGGAGCAUGCCUGUUUGAGUGUCAUUAAAUUCUCAAAACUGCCUAGCUUUGCAGCUUGGUGGAUUUUGGAUGUGAGGGUUUUUUGCUGGCUUUUCCAAGUCGGCUCCCUUGAAACACAUUAGCAGUGGUUUUUCUGCUGUUCAUCAGUGUGAUAAAAUCUAUCUACGCUGUUGUCAGUGAAAGUAUGCUCUGCUUCUAAUCGUCCCUUGUGGACAAUAUGACAAUUUUGACCUCAAAUCAGGUAGGACUACCCGCUGA